rnacentral:rRNA from 1 species
ACAAUGAAGAGUUUGAUCCUGGCUCAGGAUGAACGCUAGCUACAGGCUUAACACAUGCAAGUCGAGGGGUAGCAGGAUCUAGCAAUAGAUUGCUGACGACCGGCGCACGGGUGAGUAACACGUAUCCAACCUUCCGUUUACUCGGGGAUAGCCUUUCGAAAGAAAGAUUAAUACCCGAUAGUAUGUUUUUCCCGCAUGGGAGAACCAUUAAAGUUUUUCGGUAAUCGAUGGGGAUGCGUUCCAUUAGGCAGUUGGUGAGGUAACGGCUCACCAAACCUUCGAUGGAUAGGGGUUCUGAGAGGAAGGUCCCCCACAUUGGAACUGAGACACGGUCCAAACUCCUACGGGAGGCAGCAGUGAGGAAUAUUGGUCAAUGGACGAGAGUCUGAACCAGCCAAGUAGCGUGAAGGAUGACUGCCCUAUGGGUUGUAAACUUCUUUUAUAUGGGAAUAAAGGAGCCUACGUGUAGGUUUUUGUAUGUACCAUACGAAUAAGGAUCGGCUAACUCCGUGCCAGCAGCCGCGGUAAUACGGAGGAUCCAAGCGUUAUC